rnacentral:rRNA from 1 species
ACUGCUAUCGGGAUAGGACUAAGACAUGCUAGUCAAGCGCUCUCUAGCCAAUGUGAGAGUGCGGCGCACAGCUCAGUAACACGUGGCUAACCUGCCCCUGGGACGAGGACAACCCCGGGAAACUGGGGCUAAUCCCCGAUAGGCGAAGAACUCUGGAAUGAGUCUCCGCCCAAAGGACGCUUACACAAUGCUUGUAGGCACCGCCCAAGGAUGGGGCCGCGACCGAUCAGGUUGUUGGCGAGGUAAUGGCUCACCAAGCCUUUUACCGGUGCGGGCCGUGGGAGCGGGAGCCCGGAGAUGGGCACUGAGACAAGGGCCCAGGCCCUACGGGGCGCAGCAGUCGCGAAAACUUUGCAAUACACGAAAGUGUGACAGGGCUAUCCCGAGUGCCAUCCGCUGAGGAAGGCUUUUACCCAGUGUAGAAAGCUGGGGGAAUAAGGAGAGGGCAAGUCUGGUGUCAGCCGCCGCGGUAAUACCAGCUCUCCGAGUGGUGUGGAUGUUUAUUGGGCCUAAAGCAUCCGUAGCUGGCUGGGCAAGUCCCCUGUUAAAUCCACCGAUUUAAUCGUUGGUGUGCGGGGGAUACUGUUCGGCUAGGGGACGAGAGAGGCCGACGGUAUUUUCGGGGUAGGGGUGAAAUCCUAUAAUCCCGGGAAGACCACCAGUGGCGAAGGCUGUCGGCUAGAACGCGCCCGACGGUGAGGGAUGAAAGCUGGGGGAGCGAACCGGAUUAGAUACCCGGGUAGUCCCAGCUGUAAACGAUGCAGGCUAGGUGUUUGGGCGGCUACGUGCCGCUCUAGUGCCGCAGGGAAGCCGUUAAGCCUGCCGCCUGGGGAGUACGGCCGCAAGGCUGAAACUUAAAGGAAUUGGCGGGGGAGCACCACAAGGGGUGAAG